UAAGCCUGUUUAGUGAUGAAUGC
rnacentral:piRNA from 1 species